rnacentral:tRNA from 1 species
GCACCACGCGGCACCGGCCGACACCGCCCCGCACGAACCCCGCUGCUCUCCUAAAGCGGGUGUCGCAGGUUCGAAUCCUGCCUGGGGCA